rnacentral:rRNA from 1 species
UACGUAGGGUGCAGGCGUUAAUCGGAAUUACUGGGCGUAAAGCGCACGUAGGCGGCUUUGUAAGUUAGAGGUGAAAGCCCGGGGCUCAACUCCGGAAUUGCCUUUAAGACUGCAUCGCUAGAAUUGUGGAGAGGUAAGUGGAAUUCCGAGUGUAGAGGUGAAAUUCGUAGAUAUUCGGAAGAACACCAGUGGCGAAGGCGACUUACUGGACACAUAUUGACGCUGAGGUGCGAAAGCGUGGGGAGCAAACAGG